CCUACGGGCGGCUUCAGUGGGGAAUAUUGCACAAUGGGGGAAACCCUGAUGCAGCGACGCCGCGUGAGUGAAGAAGUAUUUCGGUAUGUAAAGCUCUAUCAGCAGGGAAGAAAAUGACGGUACCUGUUUAAGAAGCCCCGGCUAACUACGUGCCAGCAGCCGCGGUAAUACGUAGGGGGCAAGCGUUAUCCGGAUUUACUGGGUGUAAAGGGAGCGUAGACGGCAGCACAAGUCUGGAGUGAAAUGCCGGGGCUUAACCCCGGAACUGCUUUGGAAACUGUGUAGCUAGAGUGCAGGAGAGGUAAGUGGAAUUCCUAGUGUAGCGGUGAAAUGCGUAGAUAUUAGGAGGAACACCAGUGGCGAAGGCGGCUUACUGGACUGUAACUGACGUUGAGGCUCGAAAGCGUGGGGAGCAAACAGGAUUAGAUACCCCAGUAGUC
rnacentral:rRNA from 1 species